rnacentral:rRNA from 1 species
GAUGAACGCUGGCGGCGUGCUUAACACAUGCAAGUCGAACGAAGCUGCUUAAAGGAAGUUUUCGGAUGGAAUUUAGGUAGACUUAGUGGCGGACGGGUGAGUAACGCGUGGAUAACCUGCCUUAUACAGGGGGAUAACGGAGAGAAAUUUUCGCUAACACCGCAUAAGACCACAGCACCGCAUGGUGCAGGGGUAAAAUAUUUAUAGGUAUAAGAUGGAUCCGCGUCCGAUUAGCUAGUUGGUGAGGUAGAGGCUCACCAAGGCGACGAUCGGUAGCCGGCCUGAGAGGGUGAACGGCCACAUUGGGACUGAGACACGGCCCAAACUCCUACGGGAGGCAGCAGUGGGGAAUAUUGGACAAUGGGGGAAACCCUGAUCCAGCGACGCCGCGUGAGUGAAGAAGUAUUUCGGUAUGUAAAGCUCUAUCAGCAGGGAAGAAAAUGACGUACCU